CUGACGACAUGAUAGAUAAUCAAA
rnacentral:siRNA from 1 species